rnacentral:rRNA from 1 species
UGGCUCAGGAUGAACGCUGGCGGCGUGCCUAAUACAUGCAAGUCGAACGAGUUUUGGUCGAUGAACGGUGCUUGCACUGUGAUUCAACUUAAAACGAGUGGCGGACGGGUGAGUAACACGUGGGUAACCUGCCCUUAAGUGGGGGAUAACAUUUGGAAACAGAUGCUAAUACCGCAUAAAUCCAAGAACCGCAUGGUUCUUGGCUGAAAGAUGGCGUAAGCUAUCGCUUUUGGAUGGACCCGCGGCGUAUUAGCUAGUGGUGAGGUAACGGCUCACCAAGGCGAUGAUACGUAGCCGAACUGAGAGGGAUCGGCCACAUUGGGACUGAGACACGGCCCAAACUCCUACGGGAGGCAGCAGUAGGGAAUCUUCCACAAUGGACGCAAGUCUGAUGGAGCAACGCCGCGUGAGUGAAGAAGGCUUUCGGGUCGUAAAACUCUGUUGUUGGAGAAGAAUGGUCGGCAGAGUAACUGUUGUCGGCGUGACGGUAUCCAACCAGAAAGCCACGGCUAACUACGUGCCAGCAGCCGCGGUAAUACGUAGGUGGCAAGCGUUAUCCGGAUUUAUUGGGCGUAAAGCGAGCGCAGGCGGUUUUUUAAGUCUGUGUGAAAGCCCUCGGCUUAACCGAGGAAGCGCAUCGGAAACUGGGAAACUUGAGUGCAGAAGAGGACAGUGGAACUCCAUGUGUAGCGGUGAAAUGCGUAGAUAUAUGGAAGAACACCAGUGGCGAAGGCGGCUGUCUGGUCUGUAACUGACGCUGAGGCUCGAAAGCAUGGGUAGCGAACAGGAUUAGAUACCCUGGUAGUCCAUGCCGUAAACGAUGAAUGCUAGGUGUUGGAGGGUUUCCGCCCUUCAGUGCCGCAGCUAACGCAUUAAGCAUUCCGCCUGGGGAGUACGACCGCAAGGUUGAAACUCAAAGGAAUUGACGGGGGCCCGCACAAGCGGUGGAGCAUGUGGUUUAAUUCGAAGCAACGCGAAGAACCUUACCAGGUCUUGACAUCUUUUGAUCACCUAGAGAUCAGGUUUCCCCUUCGGGGGCAAAAUGACAGGUGGUGCAUGGUUGUCGUCAGCUCGUGUCGUGAGAUGUUGGGUUAAGUCCCGCAACGAGCGCAACCCUUAUGACUAGUUGCCAGCAUUCAGUUGGGCACUCUAGUAAGACUGCCGGUGACAAACCGGAGGAAGGUGGGGAUGACGUCAAAUCAUCAUGCCCCUUAUGACCUGGGCUACACACGUGCUACAAUGGAUGGUACAACGAGUUGCGAGACCGCGAGGUCAAGCUAAUCUCUUAAAGCCAUUCUCAGUUCGGACUGUAGGCUGCAACUCGCCUACACGAAGUCGGAAUCGCUAGUAAUCGCGGAUCAGCACGCCGCGGUGAAUACGUUCCCGGGCCUUGUACACACCGCCCGUCACACCAUGAGAGUUUGUAACACCCGAAGCCGGUGGCGUAACCCUU